CAUUCAGCAGAAAUCUGACAACUGCUCAGCACAAUUUGCAAGCUGCAGAAUUCAAAAUAGUCUUCCACGUCUAGGCAGAAAUUCACUUACAGCAGGGAGGAGCCUUCUCUUGGAUGGAUAUCAUUACCUUAGUAUGGAUGCAUUCAUCAACUUCAUUCAAGGGACUGUUCAGGGACUUUUCAGAAGAAUCCUUGAGGGAAAGAAAAAGCACAUGUGCAUGUUGUAAUGGAUCAUAUCUGAAAAGUGAAAGUUCUGCGCUACCUAGUGCAAGGAGAAUAUGAAGGAAAAACUUAAAAUGGCUAGCAGCAAAAUGGAAGAAGAUUAAACAAAGAAGAAAAUGAUGGGCUAUGUUGAUGCAAUGCUUUCACCUUUGAUUAACAUCGAAAAAUGCAGUCUCAUCUCUUCUAUGGCUCCAUGGCUUUACGCAACGUGACUUUUAGAAAAUUGGAAGAAGAGUUGUUCAUUUCAUUUUACUGAGGUAGAUAAAUAUUUCUAUUCAUUCUUGGGGAAGCCAAAAUACUGAAAAUAAUGAUGUGAGAAAGGUUCCAUGGUUGUUUGUGUGUACAGUAUAUAUUUCAUAAAUUAGUUAACUAAUUGGCAUCUUGGAAAGGUG